AGUUUUAUAAGAGUCUGGCGUUUCCCCUCCUUGUGCUUUUCUCUCGUGUGCCAUGUGAAGAACCUUGCUUCCUCUUUGCCUUCCACCAUGAUUGGCUUCCGAGGUGACUGGGCAGCGUCAGUCUUCAGCCGCUAAGCCGAGAAGGAGUCAGUCAGAGAGCCUUGGGCCAGAGUUCCAGGGGCUCUGGGAGUGUCUGCCAGCUUCAGGUGCCUGGAUGUUGAGGGGCAAAUAGGACUGUUCACUGAAGGAGCUAGAGAAUGGAAGAGAAGGUUGUGUCAGAUAGAAAUAACAGAAGCUUUCUGAAAUGAAAACAGAAAUGUUACAACUUGCACCACAGUACUGGACUGAAACGAAGAUGUAACACAGCCAUAAUAAUUUAAAUUAAUAGCAAAUAAAUAAAGAAAAAAAGAACUUCAUUGUGAGGACCAUAGUCAUGGGAUAGCUCUGUCUUUUCGGGGAAAGUGGAGUAGAGGGACAGAGUCACCCCAGGAGAAAAAAUGCUUAAAUUAAGACUCCCUGAGAGACUGAAUAAGAGUAUGAUUAGUUCAGCCUUGCUUUCAUCCUCCACUUCCCCCUCCCACUGUAGACUUCAGUUUUAAUAAUGAUUAAAGAAUAAUGCC
rnacentral:lncRNA from 1 species